rnacentral:lncRNA from 1 species
GAAGGCCUUGGAGGCAGAGGGAGAAAAGCUUCCAAAGGGUGUUGAUUGGCGCUCAGAACCGAGAGCAUGGAGAAUAGGGGAGAGUCUGGGAGGUGAGGGGUCAGGCCACUCAAGGCCAGCCUUGGAGUCCCUUACCAAAAAAAAAAAAAAUUACCUUCUUUUCCUGGGGAGCAGCAGGAAACUGUUGUACCCUCCCAAGCUGGCAAGAGCUUAUCUUAGACAUUGCAUAGUGCUAGUGAGAAAACAGGUUUGGGGGUUUCCCACAGUGGGUCUGUGUCCUAAUAGGGUCUCAGGUAGGGACCAAGUGUCAGAUACCGGAACUUAAGGAAACAGUUCUCAUUCAAGUCACCAUAGUUCCUACCACUCUUACCCUCCCACCAUUUUUUAAUUUCUUAAUUUCUUCCUUGUCCUUUAAUGCUGGUGACCAGCGAGAGGAACCUGUCCAGUUAGGGGCCCAGAGCAGUCCAUUUCAUGGUCAGAAAGUGGUGUCUCCACAUUCUGAAUCUGCUUGAGUGGACGGAAGCAGGGGCUUGAACGACCUUCUUUGCCUUUCAGAAGCCCCUGAAUGUCAUGGUGAUCCGCAGAGGGGAGAAGCACCAGCUCAGACUGACUCCCACCCGCUGGGCAGGAAAAGGACUGCUGGGGUAAGGCUGGGGUCUGAUUCCCUCAUGCUCUCCCACCCUGGUCUUGAUGGAGGGUGUGCUCAGACAGAGGGCUGGGGGUGCUGGCACCAAUGGAUAGUG